CGGGGGGACGCUUACCACUUUGUGGUUCAUGACUGGGGUGAAGUCGUAACAAGGUAGCGCUAGGGGAACCUGGCGCUGGAUCACCUCCUUAAACGAUGAU
rnacentral:rRNA from 1 species